CUGCCCUUGACAUCUAGAGAACCCUGCAGAGAUGCGGGGGUGCCUUCGGGAGCUCUAAGACAGGUGCUGCAUGGCUGUCGUCAGCUCGUGUCGCGAGAUGUUGGGUUAAGUCCCGUAACGAGCGCAACCCUUGUCCCUAGUUGCCAUCAUUCAGUUGGGCACUCUAGGGAGACUGCCGGUGACAAACCGGAGGAAGGUGGGGAUGACGUCAAGUCCUCAUGGCCUUUAUGGGCAGGGCUACACACGUGCUACAAUGGCCGGUACAGAGGGUCGCCAACGCGCAAGCGGGAGCUAAUCUCAGAAAACCGGUCGUAGUCCGGAUUGGAGUCUGCAACUCGACUCCAUGAAGUCGGAAUCGCUGGUAAUCGCGGAUCAGCACGCCGCGGUGAAUACGUUCCC
rnacentral:rRNA from 1 species